ensembl:lncRNA
ACCGCAGCAGCUCGGUGGGCUGCCUGGCCGAGGCCGCUGCCCGCUUCCCAGCCCGGAGGAGGAACCUCUCGGGGGACCCCAGGACCAGCCAGAGCUCCCCCGAGCCCUCAGGAAGUGGGGGCCCCGGGGCCCCCCCGCGCCAGCCUGAGGACCCAGCGCCCCGGGGCCCUUAGCCUCCCCGACCGCCCGCUUCUGCACCUGCGGCUUCCCGGGUUCGGCCACGGACGUUUCCAGCCCGCCUCCCUGGCAGCAUCUCGCGGCGCGGCUCCCGGCCCAUCUGUGGAUCUGUCCAAGCAGCUUCUGCUCAGCCCCCACCUGUCUGAUCUUCCCACCACGUAUGCAGUGACCUGUGCCUUUUUCUAGUACCUUUUGUUGCUUGAAAAGAAACAAACACCCACACACACACACACCAAACAUCAAAGAGCCCGCUGAUGAGUUGGAGGCUGUGAAUAUUUUAGGUGAGGUGGGGCCUCAUCCUGGGCCACUGCGGUGGCAGCCGCCACCACCGCCCCCCCGACCCCCAAGGCUGGCAAGAGGCGGUCAUUUGCUGAGAGAAAUGGGAUGCACUGAGAGAGGAAAAAAAAAAAAAAGAAACUUUUAAAAACAUAAUUAAAUGUAAAAGCAAGCGCUCCUAUGUACACAUGUUUAUGGUUCCUGUUUAUUGCUGCUUUAGCCCACCUCAGCUUAGUGGCCACCCCUGGCUGCCAGCAGAAGGGCCAGCGGCCCGGGACAGAGGGACGGGCGGGGAGACUCCACGAGCAGACCCAGAAAACUCCAACUUGCUUUUCCUGCUUGAAGAAAAGGUCCCUCGAGCCCCGCCGCUCCGUCUUCUCGCCGCCCUCUUGAAUAGGAACAAGCAAUACUGCUGAGCUGAAUGGCUCUCUAGCCCUUUCUCCAGACACAUCCUCUUUGAAGCAAAAAAUUCUGCUCGGGCCGCCGUCCUUGGAGACACAUGUGCAGCCCUGACCGAGGGGAGAAAUACCCACAGGCCUGGUCCCCCAACUCCGCUUCCGUGUCUCGAAUCCCAUCCGCUUUCCACUGGAAAACCGCUCCGGCUUUUAGGAUCACUUUACCAAACCUAGUGUUCAACGAGGAAGAGCAAAGAAACGGAGAAAAAAAAAGAAAUGUGCAGGCGAAUGUAAGAUACAGACUCUCUGUAAGAUAAAUAUUUGCCUUUUUGUUCCCCGAGGUGUACGUAUUCUGUACGUGAAGUUGUCUGUAGGGAGUUUCUAUGUUCUUAAAUAUGGCAAUACAUUCCAAAACGCGUGCUGUGGAUACAUGUACAGCAACCACACUGGGAUGGGGUAGGUUUGCCUGUAACUUUAUUUAAACGCCAGUUUCUACACUUGCAUCUUGCAAUAUCGGUAUGGUAUAUAUCAGUGCAAAAGAAAAAAAAAAAACUCAACAAAAAAUCCUGCAGGUCUAAAGCACAGAGUCUGAUGUACAAAGGAAAAAACUGCUCCGUAUUGAUGUGUGUGACCUUCGUUGUAAAUGACAUCCGUACUGUGAAUGAGAAGUUUUUACAAGUAUAAUAAUUGCCUUUAUUACAGUUCUGGCUGAGUGUUCAGCCUGAGGAUAUUUUUUAAAAAAAACAGCACGUUGGAAUAAAUUUGAAAAUCCCAACA